rnacentral:rRNA from 1 species
CCUACGGGUGGCAGCAGUGGGGAAUAUUGCACAAUGGGGGAAACCCUGAUGCAGCGACGCCGCGUGAGUGAAGAAGUAUUUCGGUAUGUAAAGCUCUAUCAGCAGGGAAGAAAAUGACGGUACCUGACUAAGAAGCCCCGGCUAACUACGUGCCAGCAGCCGCGGUAAUACGUAGGGGGCAAGCGUUAUCCGGAUUUACUGGGUGUAAAGGGAGCGUAGACGGCCAGACAAGUCAGAAGUGAAAGCCCAGGGCUCAACCCUGGGACUGCUUUUGGAACUGCAUGGCUGGAGUACAGGAGGGGCAGGCGGAAUUCCUAGUGUAGCGGUGAAAGGCGUAGAUAUUAGGAGGAACACCGGUGGCGAAGGCGGCCUGCUGGACUGUGACUGACGUUGAGGCCCGAAGGCGUGGGGAGCAAACAGGAUUAGAUACCCCGGUAGUC